rnacentral:lncRNA from 1 species
GUGAGGAGCGCCUCUUCCCAGCCGCCAUCACAUCUAGGAAGUGAGGAGCGUCUCUGCCCGGCCGCCCAUGGUCUGAGAUGUGGGGAGCGCCUCUGCCCCGCCGCCCCAUCUGGGAUGUGAGGAGCGCCUCUGCCCGGCCGAGACCCCGUCUGGGAGGUGAGGAGCGUCUCCGCCCGGCCGCCAUCCCAUCUAGGAGGUGAGGAGCGCCUCUUCCCGGCCGCCAUCACAUCUAGGAAGUGAGGAGCGUCUCUGCCCGGCCGCCCAUCGUCUGAGAUGUGGGGAGCGCCUCUGCCCCGCUGCCCCAUCUGGGAUGUGAGGAGCACCUCUGCCCGGCCGCGACCCCGUCUGGGAGGUGAGGAGCAUCUCUGCCCGGCUGCCCCGUCUGAGAAGUGAGGAGACCCUCUGCCCGGCAACCGCCCCGUCUGAGAAGUGAGGAGCCCCUCCGCCCAGCAGCCGCCCCGUCUGGGAAGUGAGGAGCGUCUCCGCCCGGCAGCCACCCCGUCCGGGAGGGAGGUGGGGGCGUCAGCCCCCCGCCCAGCCAGCCGCCCCGUCCGGGAGGGAGGUGGGGGGGUCAGCGCCCAGCCCGGCCAGCCGCCCAGUCCGGGAAGGAGGUGGGGGGGGCAGCCCCCCGCCCGGCCAGCCGCCCCGUCCGGGAGGGAGGUGGGGGCGUCAGCCCCCCGCCCGGCCAGCCGCCCUUCCAGGAGGGUGGUGGGGGGGUCAGCCCCCCACCCGGCCAGCCGCCCCGUCCGGGAGGUGAGGGGCGCCUCUGCCCAGCCGCCCCUACUGGGAAGUGAGGAGCCCCUCUGCCCGGCCAGCCGCCCCGUCCGGGAGGGAGGUGGGGGGGCAGCCCCCCGCCCGGCCAGCCGCCCCGUCCGGGAGGUGAGGGGCGCCUCUGCCUGGCCGCCCCUACUGGGAAGUGAGGAGCCCCUCUGCCCGGCCAGCCGCCCUGUCCGGGAGGGAGGUGGGGGGGGUCAGCCCCCCGCCCGGCCAGCCGCCCCGUCCAGGAGGUGAGGGGCGCCUCUGCCCGGCCGCCCCUACUGGGAAGUGAGGAGCCCCUCUGCCCGGCCAC